GCGCGGCGGAACGUUGAGCGUUCUGCUCACAGAAAAAGCGGCCAUCGCCCGCCGCUGCUUCUGCUGGCGUCGCUGCAGCAGAGGCGGGCAGAGCAGCCAUUAUCCUGCAGGAUGCUGCGACCUGAUCCUGAUCCCAGGGCCAUGCCAUGCAAUUAAUAUGGCUGCGAAUCGAACGAAAAAAGAACUGGUCAACAAAAAUCUGGAAACAUUCCAAAAACUCGGUGCAAAAGUGUUGAAAAUCAAGGAAAAUUUAAUCCUGGACAUAAAUUCAAUGUACAACUUUGAAAACAUUUUGUAAAAACGGAAUUAAGGCUGCAAUCUUCUGCAUAUUCUAAACAGGACACACGAACUACAGCGGAGCAUCUGCCACAUCUACCGCAUCUGCCCCAUCUGCCCCUCCUCCAGCCAUUACUCAGCAGUCUUAGCAGGGCUUAGUGCUGAAUCAUCGCCACCGUCGUUACCGAUUCACCGAUUUGGAGCAGGGACACCAAGAAGGCUUACGGUGGCGCCCAACUUCCACUGGCGACAGCGAUCCAGGUCGGGAGCUUAGCGGGGCGACUCGCUGAUUGAUUUCCGUGCAAACAGAAGACCCAGAAGCUAGAUCUAUCAUUCAUUAACUGUGCUUCUUGUCUAUCCAAUUUCCAGACCUCGCACCUAUUUUAUCGACGCGAAGAAAGUGCCGUAAUCCGCGGGCAAUCAAUUAGAUACCAGCGUCCUAAGCACUCCCAAAGACAUCGCAGCCGUAUCUUAUCUUAUCGCCGCUUCUUCCGAUAAGGUCGGGCACUACUUUCCGUCCUCUGUUUUUUCGGACUGCUUCCUAAUCUCGGGCCCCUCGGUGAGGUCUUGGCUUCAGUUGGUUUCCAGAGGCGAGGGCGAAGACAACGCGGAGCUGGCCACUCCGGCGCAAGGGCCUUCGUGACUUUCGGGACAGGAACACGGACUGAAACACGGACACGGACACGGAGACCUCGCGAAUGCCUCCAUUUAAUUGGCAGGCCAGGCGACGGCGAGCUUUGUAAUCACAUUUAUGGGUCAUUCCAUAAUUUCCAAAAGGAAUAAAGGAAACGGUUGUAUGGUUGCCAGCCAUCGUCGCAUCACGUGUGGCACGAUAAAUAUAAUUUACCCGAGGCGCAUGUAAUUGCCGCGCUGCCUAAAUUACCCCGCCUUGAACACACACAUUGUAUAUGUUUAUUAACAUUUUCACUUUUUGCAGCCGUGAUUGCUCACCUCCGUUCAUUUCACCCAUGCGACGCGACUGUUCUCCUUCAGUUUGCUCCACGUCUACCCUGUAGAUCCGAAUUUGUUUUACAUUAGCUUUAAGGACAAAUUCGGUUCUAGAGAGGUUUGUGUGGUCCAAUAUCCAUCGAUAAAUCAAAAGAAGCCGGAAUCAAGUGAAAAAGUGAAUUUGAACAUUAAUUUAAUAAGUGAAUAAAUUGUUCAAAACAAAGUGAAAACGAUUAAAUUAAGUUACUCAGUAAAUUACCAUUGAAUCGCCAUUAUAAAAUAAAGACUAGGAACAUUAAGCAUCUGAAAUUAAAAAUUUAAUAAUUAACUUUAAUAAUAAUUAAAUAAUUCUUCCUAUUUCAUAAUGACUCACCCAAAACACUAAUUACUGUUGCCAACUAAUAGAUUUUCAUUGCUUACUAUAAAAUCCAUGAUAAUGAAUUGCUGUCUUGACACAAUUUUUUGGCUUACUUUUAUAGAUAAGAGUGCCGGGUAUUAAGGUUUCACUUUUCAUUGCCAAUGAUUCAGAGACUAGGGAAUUUUAAAAAUUCAUUGUUCAUGUUGACAGCUCAGUUAGAUUAUAAAACAACAAAUGUUGAUUUAAUAUAGUGAUGAGUUAUAAAAAUAACUAUCAACAAAAGGAAAUAUUUGUAUUUAGAACGUAAAAAUCCUUAAUAUAUUUAUUCAAGAAAAAAAUGUUUUAAGAUAAGAACACUGUUGUAAAACUAAAUAGAAAUUUUAAAACUGUAAAUAAUUAUUUUGAAUACGUAUGUACAUGUCUUAUAAAUUAUGAAUCAUUGAAAUCAACACAAUUUUACAGUUUAAAAAAAGAUACGAUAUUAGAGAUAAAGUUACAGAUAAAAAUUUUUUUUAUUAUUUGAAGGUGGUUGAAAACGUGUCAAUGGAAUCAAAGCGGAAAAUAAAAUACAUGUUAAAUACUUACAAUAUGUAAUAUAUAUGAAAUAUUAUUUAACUUAAAAUUUUGUAAAACUAUGUUUAAACAUUAAUAAAGACUUUAUGUUGUGCUAAAUAAAA